CGUGAUUAAAGAGCUCCUGUCUCCAUAUUGGAAACUGGCCCUGAUCACUGUGGCAGCACACUGAAGUAUGUGAUAAAUAAUUUAUGAACCUCGGAGGUCUGGUAUGGGGAGAUGUUCACCUUUUCUCCAUCCGUGCACCACACAUCAUGCUUCAGCGCCAACACGGGCACAUGCAGUUCUGCCUCAAGAUGUCAUCAAGAAGGCUGAUUAGAGGUGCCCAGUGCUCUCCUACUCCACAAAGGACCAAAACAAUUAGAAAACAACACAUCAAAUAGAGUGUAUAGGAGAAAACACUGAAAUUCAGCAAGAAAGUGAUAAAGACCUUCUGAUGCACAGAGACUGGAGAUGGCAGCAUAAAGAGGAAAGUGAAGAGCCUGGCUGGGAUUGGCUCAUCCCAAGAGACACUCCUCACCAUAGAGAAAGAGGUGGAAAAGUGAAAAUCCAGUAGAAACCUAUAUCAGCCUGAUUCAACUCAUUCACAUUCAACUGUUACCUCUGAAAUGAGAAAAGGCCCUGCUAAUCUGUGAGGUGGAGCUCAUAGGAGUGUUGGCGAGACAUUGUUAACUGAUAUUGAUUCAGACUUAGAAGAGGAAGAGAGGAGGCCUGGGACAAAUCACCACAGGAGAAGGAAAGAGAAGGACAGCAUUUGUAAAUUACAUUUAAAUUCCUACUCUGUCUAUGGCUUUGGCUACUCCCAGGAAAAAUGAUGGGGUGGAGCGGGGAUGGAGGGCAUAAAAAUAUGUUUUAAAGAGAAACUGAGUUCUUAGUAGUAUUGGCACACACACAGAAUACAUA